CGAACGCUGGCGGCGUGCCUAAUACAUGCAAGUAGAACGCUGAGGACUGGUGCUUGCACUGGUUUAAGGAGUUGCGAACGGGUGAGUAACGCGUAGGUAACCUACCUCAUAGCGGGGGAUAACUAUUGGAAACGAUAGCUAAUACCGCAUGACAAUAGGGUACACAUGUACCCUAUUUAAAAGGGGCAAAUGCUUCACUAUGAGAUGGACCUGCGUUGUAUUAGCUAGUUGGUAAGGUAACGGCUUACCAAGGCGACGAUACAUAGCCGACCUGAGAGGGUGAUCGGCCACACUGGGACUGAGACACGGCCCAGACUCCUACGGGAGGCAGCAGUAGGGAAUCUUCGGCAAUGGGGGGAACCCUGACCGAGCAACGCCGCGUGAGUGAAGAAGGUUUUCGGAUCGUAAAGCUCUGUUGUUAGAGA
rnacentral:rRNA from 1 species